rnacentral:rRNA from 1 species
GACGUAGGGGGCGAGCGUUGUCCGGAUUUAUUGGGCGUAAAGCGCGCGUAGGCGGCCGCGCAAGUCGGAUGUGAAAACCCGGGGCUCAACCCCGGGCGUGCAUUCGAUACUGCGCGGCUCGAGACAGGUAGGGGAGAUCGGAAUUCCUGGUGUAGCGGUGAAAUGCGCAGAUAUCAGGAGGAACACCGGUGGCGAAGACGGAUCUCUGGGCCUGUUCUGACGCUGAGGCGCGAAAGCUAGGGGAGCGAACAGG